CUUUGCAAACUCCGAAUACCGUAAAGUAAUAUCCGGGAGACACACGGCGGGUGCUAACGUCCGUCGUGAAGAGGGAAACAACCCAGACCGCCAGCUAAGGUCCCAAAGUCAUAGUUAAGUGGGAAACGAUGUGGAAAGGCCCAGACAGCCAGGAGGUUGGCUUAGAAGCAGCCAUCCUUUAAAGAAAGCGUAAUAGCUCACUGGUCGAGUCGGUCUGCGCGGAAGAUGUAACGGGGCUAAACUAUGCACCGAAGCUGCGGAUUCAUCUUAGGAUGAGUGGUAGGGGAGCGUUCUGUAAGCCGUUGAAGGUGACCCGGGAGGUUUGCUGGAGGUAUCAGAAGUGCGAAUGCUGACAUGAGUAACGAUAAUGGGAGUGAAAAACUCCCACGCCGGAAGACCAAGGGUUCCUAUCCCAUGUUAAUCAGGGUAGGGUAAGUCGACCCCUAAGGCGAGGCCGAAAGGCGUAGUCGAUGGGAAACAGAUUAAUAUUUCUGUACUCGAUAUAAUUGCGAUGGGGGGACGGAGCAGGCUAAGCAAGCAUGGCGUUGGUAGUCCAUGUGAAAGUGAGUAGGGCGUUUGUUUAGGUAAAUCCGGACGAACAUUAAACCUGAGACACGAGACGAGUCACUAAGGUGAUGAAGUUGCUGAUGCCAUACUUCCAGGAAAAGCCUCUAAGCUUCAGAUUAUAUGGAAUCGUACCCCAAACCGACACAGGUGGUCAGGUAGAGAAUACUAAGGCGCUUGAGAGAACUCGGGUGAAGGAACUAGGCAAAAUCGUACCGUAACUUCGGGAGAAGGUACGCUCCUAUCUGUGAUGAGACUUGCUCUCUAAGCGGACGGGAGCCGCAGUGACCAGGUGGCUGGGACUGUUUAUUAAAAACACAGCACUGUGCAAAAUCGCAAGAUGACGUAUACGGUGUGACACCUGCCCGGUGCCGGAAGGUUAAUUGAUGGGGUUAUCCUUAGGGAGAAGCUCUUGAUCGAAGCCCCGGUAAACGGCGGCCGUAACUAUAACGGUCCUAAGGUAGCGAAAUUCCUUGUCGGGUAAGUUCCGACCUGCACGAAUGGUGUAACCAUGGCCACGCUGUCUCCACCCGAGACUCAGUGAAAUUGAAAUCGCAGUGAAGAUGCUGUGUACCCGCGGCUAGACGGAAAGACCCCGUGAACCUUUACUACAGCUUGGCACUGAACAUUGAACCUACAUGUGUAGGAUAGGUGGGAGACUUUGAAGAUGAGACGCUAGUUUUGUUGGAGUCAACCUUGAAAUACCACCCUUGUAGUUUUGAUGUUCUAACGUUGGCCCCUGAAUCGGGGUUACGGACAGUGCCUGGUGGGUAGUUUGACUGGGGCGGUCUCCUCCUAAAGAGUAACGGAGGAGCACGAAGGUUGGCUAAGUACGGUCGGACAUCGUACGGUUAGUGUAAUGGUAGAAGCCAGCUUAACUGCGAGACAGA
rnacentral:rRNA from 1 species